AUUUUGCAUGAAAUGAUGAACAUACAUCGAUCUUUGUAUUUGGGAGGCAACUUCCUUUGUAUGAUAGCUAAGGCAUUUUUCGACACACUCACUCUUUCACUGCUGCUUAACUCUUAUUGGUGCAUAAUUUUUUCAAGAACUUGGCAUAUCUGAGUAUUUGUUUGAUAGCAUCAAGUAGAAGGAGAUUGAUUUCAACUUAACGGAAUGUUUUCAAGAUUUAUUUGUCCUUCUUUAUCUUAGCAAGUCUCUACGAAAAGGAUGGGAAUUAGCUGAUCAGGGUAUGUCUUAAUUGAAAGGGUGUUAUGAUUUGUUGCUAGCUCAAUAACUUUGCCCAAGGCUUAUGGUUAUGUUUUCUUUUGCAAGCCUAGGCCAAGGCUUAUUUUAACAAGAGCUUCUUAUACUUCUUUCCCAUUUUACAGGGUGAUAGCACU
rnacentral:lncRNA from 1 species